CCUCCUUUAGAGUUUGGAUCCUGGCUCAGAUUGAACGCUGGCGGCAGGCCUAACACAUGCAAGUCGAACGGUAACAUUUCUAGCUUGCUAGAAGAUGACGAGUGGCGGACGGGUGAGUAAUGCUUGGGAACUUGCCUUUGCGAGGGGGAUAACAGUUGGAAACGACUGCUAAUACCGCAUAAUGUCUUCGGACCAAACGGGGCUUCGGCUCCGGCGCAAAGAGAGGCCCAAGUGAGAUUAGCUAGUUGGUAAGGUAACGGCUUACCAAGGCGACGAUCUCUAGCUGUUCUGAGAGGAAGAUCAGCCACACUGGGACUGAGACACGGCCCAGACUCCUACGGGAGGCAGCAGUGGGGAAUAUUGCACAAUGGGGGAAACCCUGAUGCAGCCAUGCCGCGUGUGUGAAGAAGGCCUUCGGGUUGUAAAGCACUUUCAGUUGUGAGGAAAAGUUAGUAGUUAAUACCCUGCUAGCCGUGACGUAAC
rnacentral:rRNA from 1 species